rnacentral:rRNA from 1 species
GACGGGACCGCACAAGCGGUGGAUGAUGUGGUUAAUUCGAUGCAACGCGAAAACCUUACCUACCUUGACAUGUCCGGAAUCCCGAAGAGAUUGGGAGUGCUCGCAAGAGAGCCGGAACACAGGUGCUGCAUGGCUGUCGUCAGCUCGUGUCGUGAGAUGUUGGGUUAAGUCCCGCAACGAGCGCAACCCUUGUCAUUAGUUGCCAUCAUUUGGUUGGGCACUCUAAUGAGACUGCCGGUGACAAACCGGAGGAAGGUGGGGAUGACGUCAAGUCCUCAUGGCCCUUAUGGGUAGGGCUUCACACGUCAUACAAUGGUCGGUACAGAGGGUUGCCAACCCGCGAGGGGGAGCUAAUCCCACAAAGCCGAUCGUAGUCCGGAUCGCAGUCUGCAACUCGACUGCGUGAAGUCGGAAUCGCUAGUAAUCGUGGAUCAGCAUGUCACGGUGAAUACGUUCCCGGGUCUU